GCACAGAUCAUAGACAAGGCACAGUUGCUUCAUCCUUACAGACGAGAUGAUUAGCUAAGAUCUGUCAUUUCACUUACAGGCAGAUUGAGCUAAAUGUCCUCAAGGCAGUGAAGAAAUAGGCACCAUCUAAUUAAUUUUAUCGUGUCGGCAAUCAUGCUAAUGAUAAGAAUUCUCCUUCAGCCCCCAAAAUUCUGGUUUCGGUGUCCAACAAGGAUAUUUGCCAAUUCUCCUUUUUGCUCUGUACUCUGUGGAUGUGGCCUUGAUCCUGGAGAGCAAUGGUACAGAGCAAUGGAGCGAGGCGAGCCAGGAAGGAUAGCAGCCGCCAGACGUUGGAAGUUGCAGCGAAGGAUCCUUCUCUAGAGUUGUGCACGGGGGCAUGGCCCUGCCAACAUCUUGCUGUGGACUCCUGGACUCCAGAAUGCCAGAAGUGGUCAGAACUGAAAGUGCUGGCAGCCAGGAGUGAGGCUGACCUCUCCGUGGCAGAGCGUCCCACCUCAGACUGGCCAGGGUGAGACUUGGGUGCUGGCUCAGCUGGUGACAGCCCAAAUGUCGUAGCAUAUUCAACAAGAAUGGAUGGGCACUUUUUAUAUGCCAGGAAAAUGGAAAUUGUUCUGGGAAAUGGAGAUUCAAAGAUGGUGAAGACAUGGCCAUCCCUGAUGUCUCAGGACCAUCAGAACUGAAGCCAAAAAGAAUACAUAAUCAAAUAAGGUAUCCCAAUAUGAAGACUUAAAGCAAGGCUUUAUAGUAAAAUUGCAUGUCUUUAAACAGAGAGGAAUGAAUAGUUCUAGGUUAGGGAAGGUGUUGGGGGCAAGCUUCAAGAGCUUCAUUUAAACUCGAAGAAGUGUGUAACCUGGAUAAAUCUUGACAUC